rnacentral:rRNA from 1 species
GAUGAACGCUAGCGACAGGCUUAACACAUGCAAGUCGAGGGGUAACAGGGGAGCUUGCUCCCGCUGACGACCGGCGCACGGGUGCGUAACGCGUAUACAACCUGCCUCAAAGCGAGGGAUAACCCAGAGAAGUUUGGACUAAUACCUCAUAGUAUAUAUUAGAGGCAUCUUUGAUAUAUUAAAGAUUUAUUGCUUUGAGAUGGGUAUGCGUAUGAUUAGCUAGUUGGUAAGGUAACGGCUUACCAAGGCUACGAUCAUUAGGGGUUCUGAGAGGAAGGUCCCCCACACUGGUACUGAGACACGGACCAGACUCCUACGGGAGGCAGCAGUGAGGAAUAUUGGUCAAUGGGCGAGAGCCUGAACCAGCCAAGUCGCGUGAAGGAAGACGGUCCUAUGGAUUGUAAACUUCUUUUGUACAGGAGUAAAGUGAGUUACGAGUAACUUUUUGCAAGUACUGUACGAAUAAGCAUCGGCUAACUCCGUGCCAGCAGCCGCGGUAAUACGGAGGAUGCGAGCGUUAUCCGGAUUUAUUGGGUUUAAAGGGUGCGCAGGCGGUAUUACAAGUCAGAGGUGAAAUCUUGGUGCUUAACAUUAAAAUUGCCUUUGAAACUGUAGUGCUUGAGUGUAAAAGAGGUAGGCGGAAUGUGUUGUGUAGCGGUGAAAUGCUUAGAUAUAACACAGAACACCGAUUGCGAAGGCAGCUUACUAUAAUACAACUGACGCUCAUGCACGAAAGCGUGGGGAUCAGACAGG